rnacentral:rRNA from 1 species
UACGUAGGGUGCGAGCGUUGUCCGGAAUUAUUGGGCGUAAAGAGCUCGUAGGCGGUCUGUCGCGUCGAUCGUGAAAACUUGGGGCUUAACCCUGAGCUUGCGGUCGAUACGGGCAUGACUGGAGUUCGGCAGGGGAGACUGGAAUUCCUGGUGUAGCGGUGAAAUGCGCAGAUAUCAGGAGGAACACCGGUGGCGAAGGCGGGUCUCUGGGCCGUACUGACUCGUGAGGAGCGAAAGCUGGGGAGCAACAGG